CAGCAGCCACGGGAAUACGUAGGGUGCGAGCGUUAAUCGGAAUUACUGGGCGUAAAGCGUGCGCAGGCGGUUAUAUAAGACAGAUGUGAAAUCCCCGGGCUCAACCUGGGACCUGCAUUUGUGACUGUAUAGCUAGAGUACGGUAGAGGGGGAUGGAAUUCCGCGUGUAGCAGUGAAAUGCGUAGAUAUGCGGAGGAACACCGAUGGCGAAGGCAAUCCCCUGGACCUGUACUGACGCUCAUGCACGAAAGCGUGGGGAGCAAACAGGAUUAGAUACCCGUGUAGUCCCUGUCUCUUAUAC
rnacentral:rRNA from 1 species